rnacentral:rRNA from 1 species
CCAACUACGUGCCAGCAGCCGCGGUAAUACGUAGGGUCCGAGCGUUGUCCGGAAUUACUGGGCGUAAAGAGCUCGUAGGUGGUUUGUCGCGUUGUUCGUGAAAACUCACAGCUCAACUGUGGGCGUGCGGGCGAUACGGGCAGACUUGAGUACUGCAGGGGAGACUGGAAUUCCUGGUGUAGCGGUGGAAUGCGCAGAUAUCAGGAGGAACACCGGUGGCGAAGGCGGGUCUCUGGGCAGUAACUGACGCUGAGGAGCGAAAGCGUGGGGAGCGAACAGGAUUAGAUACCCUGGUAGUCCACGCCGUAAACGGUGGGUACUAGGUGUGGGUUUCCUUCCUUGGGAUCCGUGCCGUAGCUAACGCAUUAAGUACACCGCCUGGGGAGUACGGCCGCAAGGCUAAAACUCAAAGAAAUUGACGGGGGCCCGCACAAGCGGCGGAGCAUGUGGAUUAAUUCGAUGCAACGCGAAGAACCUU